GGGNNGCUAAUACAUGCAAGUCGAGCGAGCAAUUUUAACGGAAGGCCUUCGGGCUGGAAGCUAAAAGCGCGAGCGGCGGAUGGGUGAGUAACACGUGGGCAACCUGCCCUUUAGCUUGGGAUACCACUUGGAAACAGGUGCUAAUACCAAAUAAGAAGCAAGAGCGCAUGCUCAAGCUAUGAAAGGCGGCUUUCGAGCUGUCACUAAAGGAUGGGCCCGCGGUGCAUUAGCUAGUUGGUAAGGUAACGGCUUACCAAGGCAAUGAUGCAUAGCCGAGUUGAGAGACUGAUCGGCCACAUUGGGACUGAGACACGGCCCAAACUCCUACGGGAGGCAGCAGUAGGGAAUCUUCCACAAUGGACGCAAGUCUGAUGGAGCAACGCCGCGUGAGUGAAGAAGGUUUUCGGAUCGUAAAGCUCUGUUGUUGGUGAAGAAGGAUGUGAAUAGUAACUGAUUCAUAUUUGACGGUAAUCAACCAGAAAGUCACGGCUAACUACGUGCCAGCAGCCGCGGUAAUACGUAGGUGGCAAGCGUUGUCCGGAUUUAUUGGGCGUAAAGCGAACGCAGGCGGGAGAACAAGUCAGCUGUGAAAGCCCUCGGCUUAACCGGGGAAGUGCAGCUGAAACUGUUUUUCUUGAGUGCAGAAGAGGAGAGUGGAACUCCAUGUGUAGCGGUGGAAUGCGUAGAUAUAUGGAAGAACACCAGUGGCGAAGGCGGCUCUCUGGUCUGUAACUGACGCUGAGGUUCGAAAGCAUGGGUAGCGAACAGGAUUAGAUACCCUGGUAGUCCAUGCCGUAAACGAUGAGUGCUAAGUGUUGGGAGGUUUCCGCCUCUCAGUGCUGCAGCUAACGCAUUAAGCACUCCGCCUGGGGAGUACGACCGCAAGGUUAAAACUCAAAGGAAUUGACGGGGGCCCGCACAAGCGGUGGAGCAUGUGGUUUAAUUCGAAGCAACGCGAAAAACCUUACCAGGUCUUGGACAUCUAGGUGCCAGUCCUAGAGAUAGGAUGUUUCCCUUCGGGGAACCCUAAAACAGGGUGGGUGCAUGGCUGUUCGUCAGCUUCGGUGGCCGGUGGAAGAUUGUUGUGGGGGUUAAGUCUCNCGCCNACNGGAGNCGCCANNCCCUCUUANAUUANUUUAGNUGUGUNCCNNAGNNNC
rnacentral:rRNA from 1 species